CUCCAAUGAUGUCAAAGACAGAGUAUUGCAGAGGUUAAUUAAUGAGUCACCCAGAGAAGAUUGAACAGCCAUUGUGCUGACAUGUUUAAGAGCUAAUAGGUCCCGAUGAUGUAAUUUUCAGUAGUGCUCGAUGUAUAUUAGCUGAAUGGGUGACAGCUGCUGUGGGCCCUGUAGAUGAAAGUGUGAAGCAUGGGGAGGUGAGUGUGCUUUCAAAUGGAGAGAGACUUUUAUAGAACCUGGUGAAUUCAACCUGGUCACGCUGGUUGCUCUGCUUGGGAAAGCCUGCUCAACUAAUACAGAUUUUACAGGGCCCAACACAAUCUCAACUCCAAGAUCACUUCAUCAACUCCAGUAAGCACUGAUGCUCCCUUCGUUGAACUCCAGCAGUACUUACAAGACUGUGGAAGCCAUGCUUUGAAAUGGUAGUAUCAGAAGACUCUAGGACCUCCAUCAGCCAUAUCUCUAAAUCAGCGGUUCUCAACCUGUGGGUCGCGACCCCUUUGGGGGUGAACGACCCUUUCACAGGGGUCGCCUAAGACCAUCGGAAAACACAUAUAUAAUGACAUAUUGUUUUUGUGAUUAAUCACUAUGCUUUAAUUAUGUUCAAUUUGUAACAAUGAAAUUGGGGGUCACCACAAGGAGAGGAACUGUAUGAAAGGGUCGCUGCAUUAGGAAGGUUGAGAACCACUGCAAUGGAUCAGUGUCUGAGGAUCUCCCCUGAUCUAUCUACAUCUUCAUCAACACUGAGAUAGGAUAUCGACCAACAUCAUUUGAUUGCUGUCCCUCCUGAGUGCUUAACUUCUUGUGUUAAGCAAAUUGUAAAAGGUACCCUGACGGUGAUCAACUCUCGACCUUGGCCCAUCAGGUAUACUCCAACCAACUUAGCUACCCAGGCCAGGGUUCAAUUUUAAUUUUAAAUGAUAUCCUUAUUAUUUUCAGUGAAGGUCAGUUACCUGGCAAAUUGUGAAGAUAGUUCUCCCCUCACCAAGCUAUUAGUGAGAAUGUCUUAAACUAUUUUUAAGGUGAGUGGAGCCAAAAAAUUGUGUAUUAAAUGAAUACUUUACAUGGCCACUGGUUAAACUUCACUUUCAAAGGUUUAAAAAUUCCAGGAAGUCAAACUAUGGUUUACAAAUAACACAAACAUCUAGCUAUCAAGGUCAUUACUGGGAAAAUCUGAAUCUGUCUAAAAUGACAUCUCACUGGUAUUAUUAAAUAAUUUCUGUGGCUAUAACUUCAUGGAAAAAAUGUAUAAACUCCUAUUAACUCUCUCAUCAUUUCACCAAAGUAUGUUAUACUUGAUCACCUCAUUUACACAAUAUUAACAAUGCCAUUUGAUAUUAUUAUUUGACAUGAUGAGGCAAUUCAUAAAAUAAGAUAAAGUGGCCAAUAUACAUAUGAAAAAGUGUUACAUCAUUAAUAAUCAGAAUUGUAAAUGAGAGGUUAUUUUGAACUAUCAGCUUGACAAUGAUUAAAAAGAUGAGAUAAGACCUUGGUGCUAUUGAGGUGUGGUGAGACUAGCACUCUCACAUAUUGCUAGUAGGAGUAUAAAUUAGUAUAAUUGUUCUACUGGCCAAUUUGGCAAUACAGGAAAAAAAUUCUGAAUAUGAUCUUUGACUCAGUAACUCCACUUCUUGUAUUUUAUCUUAAGAAAAUACAAUCAAAUACACAAAGAUGCUUGUAUAUGCAUGCUCACUGCAGUGUUGUUUAUGAUAACAAAAAAUUGGAAACUACCUAAAUGCCUACCAAUAGAGAAAUGUUUAAAUAAAACGUGGUUGAGCUGUACCCUGGGACUCCAUGCACUUGUUAAAAACUAGAAGCUCAGUGCAUGAAAUUUGUGCACUCGUGGGGGUCCUUCAGCCCGGCCUCUGCCCUCUUGCAGUCCGGGAGCCCUCGGGGGAUGUUCG